UCCCUGGAGGACUAAUGGUUAGGCCUUGGCAAUCUCACCGCCACAGCCUUGGUUCAAUUCCCGGCCAGGGAA